CACACGACUCUCGGCAACGGAUAUCUCGGCUCUCGCAUCGAUGAAGAACGCAGCGAAAUGCGAUACCUGGUGUGAAUUGCAGAAUCCCGCGAACCAUCGAGUCUUUGAACGCAAGUUGCGCCCGAGGCCAUUCGGCCGAGGGCACGCCUGCCUGGGCGUCACG
rnacentral:rRNA from 1 species